CCUGCGACGUUUGCUUUCCAGGAGUCAUCAUGAGUUUGCUUUCCUGGAGUCAUCAUGACGAUCACGCCAACCACCCGACUCGGUCAGAACUUCUGUCACCGCAGCAACAAGGGAAGUGCCCAAGAAGGAAGAAUCAAAUACCAAUUGUGACUUCCUUGGCCCGGAUUUCCCCUGCGCUGAGUGAGUUACGAGGAGUACCAGGGAAUCGAAGAAGAUAGCCAAAAAGUUGAAGGAAGCAAAGGGGUUGAGCAAGCAAGAAGAACAGGUAUGUGGAGGAUGGCGGUGGCGAACUGGCGAGAUGGAGAAAAGGGAAGGCGGCAGGGGAUUAGGAGCCAGGAUGGAAACCACCGCCGUGGUUUUCCCCAACGCACACGGACCUGGCUGGUUCCUUCGGCUUCGAUCGAAGUGAAGCCACCGCUUCCAUGUUAGAAACGAUUUCUUGCUUUUUCCUCUCUUUCUUCGAUGGAUAAACACGGCGCCAUAUGAGCAAAGUUUAAUAAUUAGAUUGGCACAUAGUAAAGUUAAAGAAAGAAAUAGAGAUAUAAUAAUAAAUAGACGUAGUAACCAUGGUGGCAUCUGCUUUGUGAAUUUGUGAGUGCCCUAAGUAUUUUUUUGUAUUUUUUUAUCAUAUUAUCCUAUUACCUAGAAUCAACACACAACAGCAGGAACAUACCUUAAGACACGAUUUCUUUGCAUUUUUUUUAGGAAUUAGAAUCUAACUAAUGAAGUAGACUAAUUUUUAGAACGUGGCAUUCUAUAACUUUUCAAAGUUUAUAUAUAAGUCUAUCUUAAAUUCAUGGGGUAAGAAAUGUAAGAAAUGGAAAUUGAUUAUAUAGAUUUAUAUGCUACUUUUCUAAUA